rnacentral:rRNA from 1 species
AUGGACGUUAAGACCGCUUUCCUCAAUGGAGAGUUGAAGAAGGAAAUUUACAUGGAUCAGCCAGAUGGUUUUGUAGUACCUGGUCAGGAAGGAAAGGAUUUCUUAUCUCGCUGUUUUGAGAUGAAGGAUCUAGGAGUAGCUGAUGUUAUCUUAAACAUCAAGCCGUUGAGAGAUGAGAAUGGUGGGAUCACACUGCUUCAGUCUCACUAUGUGGAAAAGGUCUUGAGUCAUUUUGGGUAUAGCGACUGCACGCCUUCUCCAACUCCAUAUGAUGCUAGUCUGAGUCGGUUUGUGUCAAAACCGGGAGAUGAUCAUUGGCAUGCGCUUGAGAGAGUUAUGCGCUAUUUGAAAGGCACCGAGAGCUAUGGGAUUCACUACACCGGGUAUCCAAGGGUACUGUAG